rnacentral:rRNA from 1 species
AUGGUUAAGUUAGAAAGGGCGCACGGUGAAUGCCUUGGCACUAGGAGCCGAUGAAGGACGGGACUAACACCGAUAUGCUUCGGGGAGCUGUAAGUGAGCUUUGAUCCGGAGAUUUCCGAAUGGGGAAACCCACUGUUCGUAAUGGAACAGUAUCUUUAUCUGAAUACAUAGGAUAUUGAAGGCAGACCCGGGGAACUGAAACAUCUAAGUACCCGGAGGAAGAGAAAGCAAAUGCGAUUUCCUGAGUAGCGGCGAGCGAAACGGAAUUAGCCCAAACCAAGAGGCUUGCCUCUUGGGGUUGUAGAACACUCUAUACGGAGUUACAAAGGAACGAAGUAAAUGAAGCGACCUGGAAAGGUCCGUCGAAGAAGGUAACAACCCUGUAGUUGAAACUUCGUUCCCUCUUGAGUGGAUCCUGAGUACGGCGGAACACGUGAAAUUCCGUCGGAAGCUGGGAGGACCAUCUCCCAAGGCUAAAUACUACCUAGUGACCGAUAGUGAACCAGUACCGUGAGGGAAAGGUGAAAAGCACCCCGGAAGGGGGAGUGAAAGAGAUCCUGAAACCGUGUGCCUACAAGUAGUCAGAGCCCGUUAACGGGUGAUGGCGUGCCUUUGUAGAAUGAACCGGCGAGUUACGAUCCCAUGCAAGGUUAAGCUGAUAAGGCGGAGCCGUAGCGAAAGCGAGUCUGAAUAGGGCGUUUAGUAUGUGGUUGUAGACCCGAAACCAGGUGAUCUACCCAUGUCCAGGGUGAAGUUCAGGUAACACUGAAUGGAGGCCCGAACCCACGCACGUUGAAAAGUGCGGGGAUGAGGUGUGGGUAGCGGAGAAAUUCCAAUCGAACCUGGAGAUAGCUGGUUCUCUCCGAAAUAGCUUUAGGGCUAGCCUCAUGUUGUGAGAGUCUUGGAGGUAGAGCACUGAUUGGACUAGGGGCCCCCAACGGGUUACCGAAUUCAGUCAAACUCCGAAUGCCAAAGACUUAUCCAUGGGAGUCAGACUGCGAGUGAUAAGAUCCGUAGUCAAAAGGGAAACAGCCCAGACCACCAGCUAAGGUCCCCAAGUAUACGUUAAGUGGAAAAGGAUGUGGAGUUGCUUAGACAACCAGGAUGUUGGCUUAGAAGCGUACCACCAUUUAAAGAGUGCGUAAUAGCUCACUGGUCGAGUGACUCUGCGCCGAAAAUGUACCGGGGCUAAACGUAUCACCGAAGCUGUGGAUUGACAUCUUUGAUGUCAGUGGUAGGAGAGCGUUCUAAGUGCGGCCGAAGUCAGACCGUAAGGACUGGUGGAGCGCUUAGAAGUGAGAAUGCCGGUAUGAGUAGCGAAAGACAAGUGAGAAUCUUGUCCACCGAAUGCCUAAGGUUUCCUGAGGAAGGCUCGUCCGCUCAGGGUUAGUCGGGACCUAAGCCGAGGCUGAAAAGCGUAGGCGAUGGCCAACAGGUUGAUAUUCCUGUACCACCUCCCCGCCGUUUGAGUAAUGGGGGGACGCAGUAGGAUAGGGUAAGCGCGGCCGCUGGAUAUGCGCGUUCAAGCAGUUAGGCUGAUGAGUAGGCAAAUCCGCUCAUCAUAAAGGCUGAGCUGUGAUGACGAGGGAAUUAUAGUACCGAAGUUCCUGAUUCCACACUGCCAAGAAAAGCCUCUAGCGAGGCGGGAGGUGCCCGUACCGCAAACCGACACAGGUAGGCGAGGAGAGAAUCCUAAGGUGAUCGAGAGAACUCUCGUUAAGGAACUCGGCAAAAUGACCCCGUAACUUCGGGAGAAGGGGUGCUCUGGUAGGGUGUAUAGCCCGAGAGAGCCGCAGUGAAUAGGCCCAGGCGACUGUUUAGCAAAAACACAGGUCUCUGCGAAGCCGCAAGGCGAAGUAUAGGGGCUGACGCCUGCCCGGUGCUGGAAGGUUAAGAGGAGGGGUUAUCCUUUGGGAGAAGCUCUGAAUCGAAGCCCCAGUAAACGGCGGCCGUAACUAUAACGGUCCUAAGGUAGCGAAAUUCCUUGUCGGGUAAGUUCCGACCCGCACGAAAGGCGUAACGAUCUGGGCACUGUCUCAACGAGAGACUCGGUGAAAUUAUAGUACCUGUGAAGAUGCAGGUUACCCGCGACAGGACGGAAAGACCCCGUGGAGCUUUACUGUAGCCUGAUAUUGAAUUUUGGUACAGCUUGUACAGGAUAGGUAGGAGCCUGAGAAGCCGGAGCGCUAGCUUCGGUGGAGGCGUCGGUGGGAUACUACCCUGGCUGUAUUGAAAUUCUAACCCGCGGCCCUGAUCGGGCCGGGAGACAGUGUCAGGUGGGCAGUUUGACUGGGGCGGUCGCCUCCUAAAAUGUAACGGAGGCGCCCAAAGGUUCCCUCAGAAUGGUUGGAAAUCAUUCGUAGAGUGUAAAGGCACAAGGGAGCUUGACUGCGAGACCUACAAGUCGAGCAGGGACGAAAGUCGGGCUUAGUGAUCCGGUGGUUCCGCAUGGAAGGGCCAUCGCUCAACGGAUAAAAGCUACCCCGGGGAUAACAGGCUUAUCUCCCCCAAGAGUCCACAUCGACGGGGAGGUUUGGCACCUCGAUGUCGGCUCAUCGCAUCCUGGGGCUGUAGUCGGUCCCAAGGGUUGGGCUGUUCGCCCAUUAAAGCGGUACGCGAGCUGGGUUCAGAACGUCGUGAGACAGUUCGGUCCCUAUCCGUCGUGGGCGUAGGAAAUUUGAGAGGAGCUGUCCUUAGUACGAGAGGACCGGGAUGGACACACCGCUGGUGUACCAGUUGUCUUGCCAAAGGCAUCGCUGGGUAGCUAUGUGUGGACGGGAUAAGUGCUGAAAGCAUCUAAGCAUGAAGCCCCCCUCAAGAUGAGAUUUCCCAUAGCGCAAGCUAGUAAGAUCCCUGAAAGAUGAUCAGGUUGAUAGGUCAGAGGUGGAAGCGUGGCGACAUGUGUAGCUGACUGAUACUAAUCGAUCGAGGACUUAACCAAAC